rnacentral:rRNA from 1 species
UUGGACGAGGGGCCCCUCUCGGGUUACCGAAUUCAGACAAACUCCGAAUGCCAAUUAAUUUAACUUGGGAGUCAGAACAUGGGUGAUAAGGUCCGUGUUCGAAAGGGAAACAGCCCAGACCACCAGCUAAGGUCCCAAAAUAUAUGUUAAGUGGAAAAGGAUGUGGCGUUGCCCAGACAACUAGGAUGUUGGCUUAGAAGCAGCCAUCAUUUAAAGAGUGCGUAAUAGCUCACUAGUCGAGUGACACUGCGCCGAAAAUGUACCGGGGCUAAACAUAUUACCGAAGCUGUGGAUUGUCCUUUGGACAAUGGUAGGAGAGCGUUCUAAGGGCGUUGAAGCAUGAUCGUAAGGACAUGUGGAGCGCUUAGAAGUGAGAAUGCCGGUGUGAGUAGCGAAAGACGGGUGAGAAUCCCGUCCACCGAUUGACUAAGGUUUCCAGAGGAAGGCUCGUCCGCUCUGGGUUAGUCGGGUCCUAAGCUGAGGCCGACAGGCGUAGGCGAUGGAUAACAGGUUGAUAUUCCUGUACCACCUAUA